GGGCACAUGGUGUAGUUGGUUAUCACGCUCGCUUAGCAUCUGCUAAGUUGCGAGAGGUGUUGGGUUCAAUUCCCAAUGUGUCCA
rnacentral:tRNA from 1 species